rnacentral:rRNA from 1 species
GUGCCAGCCGCCGCGGUAAUACGAAGGGUGCGAGCGUUAAUCGGAAUUACUGGGCGUAAAGAGCACGUAGGCGGUUUGAUAAGCGGAAUGUGAAAUCCCCGGGCUUAACCUGGGAACUGCAUUCCGAACUGUCAGGCUAGAGUGUGGUAGAGGUGAGCGGAAUUUCCUGUGUAGCGGUGAAAUGCGUAGAUAUAGGAAGGAACAUCAGUUGCGAAGGCGGCUCACUGGACCAACACUGACGCUGAGGUGCGAAAGCGUGGGUAGCGAACAGGAUUAGAAACCCUUGUAGUCC